GACGAACACUGGCGGCGUGCUUAACACAUGCAAGUCGAACGGAAAGGCCCUGCUUUUGUGGGGUGCUCGAGUGGCGAACGGGUGAGUAACACGUGAGUAACCUGCCCUUGACUUUGGGAUAACUUCAGGAAACUGGGGCUAAUACCGGAUAGGAGCUCCUGCUGCAUGGUGGGGGUUGGAAAGUUUCGGCGGUUGGGGAUGGACUCGCGGCUUAUCAGCUUGUUGGUGGGGUAGUGGCCUACCAAGGCUUUGACGGGUAGCCGGCCUGAGAGGGUGACCGGCCACAUUGGGACUGAGAUACGGCCCAGACUCCUACGGGAGGCAGCAGUGGGGAAUAUUGCACUAUGGGCGGAAGCCUGAUGCAGCAACGCCGCGUGCGGGAUGACGGCCUUCGGGUUGUAAACCGCUUUCGCCUGUGACGAAGCGUGAGUGACGGUAAUGGGUAAAGAAGCACCGGCUAACUACGUG
rnacentral:rRNA from 1 species